UUAAUGAAUUAUUGCCUCUGUUGUUUCUAAGACCAAGUUCUCUGUGCUUUUGCUUAGGGCUUGCUUUCUAAAUUAACUCUCUGAUGCCAAUGACCCAGC